UUGACGGGGCCGCACAGCGGUGAGCAUGUGUUUAAUCGAUGAUACGCGAAGAACCUUACCGGGGUUUGACAUGCAGGUGAUCGCCGUUUGAAAGACGGUUUUCCUCUUCGGAGGCACCUGCACAGGUGCUGCAUGGCUGUCGUCAGCUCGUGUCGUGAGAUGUUGGGUUAAGUCCCGCAACGAGCGCAACCCUUAUCCCCAGUUGCCAUCAGGUAAAGCUGGGAACUCUGGGGAGACUGCCGGUGAUAAACCGGAGGAAGGCGGGGAUGACGUCAAGUCCUCAUGGCCCUUACAUCCCGGGCUACACACGUGCUACAAUGGCAGGUACAGAGGGCUGCAAAGCCGCGAGGUAGAGCGAGUCCCAGAAAACCUGUCUCAGUCCGGAUUGAAGUCUGCAACUCGACUUCAUGAAGGCGGAAUCGCUAGUAACCGCGAAUCAGCAGGUCGCGGUGAAUACGUUCCCGGGCCUU
rnacentral:rRNA from 1 species